CACUGAUGGGUGGGGAAUUUGGAGCAGGCUCCACUCUGCUCUCUUACCCCUAGGGGAGAAGCCUCAGGUUCUGCUCUUUAUCUCCAUCUUACAGAGCUGUGUUGGCCACAGCAAGACACCCACCUCUUCUUUCUUUCUUAGCUGCCCCAGGCAACAAAACGAUGGUAUUUCUCCCUGUUGCUGUCUUACUCUUGUACUCAUCUCAAUUACUGCAUCUUCUUCUCUGGAUUCUGGACUUCUCAUAAAGUAAGCAUGGGAGUAGCAGAGAGCCUCUUAGGAAGUGUUCCCAAAGGACAACUGUGCUGCUGUUCUACCUUAUGGAAACUUGAAAAAAGUGUAAUGAGACCUCCCAAGAAGCAUAUCUGUGCAUGAGGGAAAUUAUUUUCUUUUUACUUUCUGAACAAUAAAUGUCUCUUCAGGCUAUG